AAGCUCGUAGUUGAAUUUCGGGAUCAGACUGUCGGUCGUGUCUCGGUACGCACUGGCAUUAUUUGGUUCCCUACCUUCUGAAGAACCGCGAUGUCAUUAAUUUGGUGUCGCGGGGAAUCAGGACUGUUACUUUGAAAAAAUUAGAGUGUUUAAAGCAGGCUUACGCUUGAAUACAUUAGCAUGGAAUAAUGAAAUAGGACGUUUGAUUCUAUUUUGUUGGUUUCUAGGAUCGACGUAAUGAUUAAUAGGGAUAGUUGGG
rnacentral:rRNA from 1 species